rnacentral:sRNA from 1 species
ACAUUAAUACACUUUGUCUAGCUUAAUUAAAAUCAUCAUAAGUCUAUUGUGUGAACAUGAAGAGCUCAGUGGAAUUCAACCCUUAAGUGCUAACGACGAUCUCUUAUAUGAGGGAGUAAGCUUAAGACAAUUGGAGCUAUAUCAAAUUUGGCGUCGUUGCCAAAGUUCUCUUUGCUUCAUCAUUAGACUAGGUGUCGAUUUAAGUCUAAACUUUUCUUUUUCUUGUGUUUCAGGUAUCAUCAGAUUUUGUAACACGUUUCUAUGGCAGAUUUCGACGACAGUGUCGAACGAAACCAACAUGGUGUUCGAUCGACACCAUAUGCAGACCAGACCAGCUACCAUAGGCGACUUCAAUAGAGUUGAUCUUUUCUACUCCAAUCGAUCAGCGAUCCAGCUACCUCCUUUUGUAAGAGAAGACUUUGCUAUUCACCCUGCAUAUUAUAAUCUUGUUUCACGAGGAAAGUUUCGAGGUGCUUCUAAUGAAUCACCACUAGAUCAUCUAGAAGUCUUCGAAGACAUAGUGUCCUCAAUCAAAAUAGAUGGUUUUUCAAGCUGAUAAUCUUCUUUGUAAACUUGAUAGCACUGUAUUUUACUCAUUUUAGGUGUAUAUUUAUCAUCAUUUAGCUUUGCAUUUGAUCAUUGUAUCAUAUCAUUUUGCACCAUUUUAGCUUGUUUUGCAUACUUAGGCAUCUAGGAUCAUUUUGCAUUCGCAUUGCAUGUUUUGGUGUGUUUUCAGGUGCAAAAGGAGCUUAAAAGGACUCUACUCGAUCCAUUCACUCGAUCCAGGCAGCUACAGAAGAGGCAUCAUUCUACUCGACCUCUUUACUCGAUCCAAGAUGCUACAAAGGAGGCUGCAGUUUACUCGACCCUCCUACUCGAUCAAGGAAACCUCAGAUGAAGCAACAAAUUGAUCUACUCGCCCCUCCUACUCGAUCCACUACUCGAUCCAUUUACUCGACCAAGGGUGACCAUAUCUACAAGACUUGUUGAGCUAUCAAAGCGUCUUCGGAUCAUCCUCAUUCCCCACUCAACCAGACAUCUGAACAUACGGAUAGGAAAGGAUGAAGCAUCUGCUCGACUAAUUGAUCACUCGGAGCAUAGACACAAAGGCGCAGACUUUGCAGCACCCUCUUUACUCUAUCCCCAAGGUCGAGUAUUCGCCCAAACCGCCUCAAGUCUCUUGCCUUCUAGUGAAUCUAGGGUUUCAACAUUUUAGUAUAAAUAGAUCAGUUUGGGAUUUAUCCAUAGGAUCUAUGCUUUAUUUUUCAGUUUUUCUUUGUGUUUAUGAAUCUUGAAACUUUAGUUACUCUUAAUCUAUUUCGUUUUUGCAUUUGAUUGUUUAAGUAAAGUUGUUUAGCUUGUUUAGAUCUACAUUUUGGUAUGAUUUUAGUAAUUUCUGGGUUUGUGUUCUUGAUAAUGUUGCUUGAGUAGUGAUUAAGGUUUUUGAGGAUGGAUUAGAUUAGGGUAAUCUCUAGGUUAGUUAGGUGGUUAGUGUUUAGGUUUAUACCCUUCUGGAUUCGCUUGGCCCCUAUGCGGUUUUCGCUGGCUAAUGUGGAGAUUCGAUCAUAGACGUCCAGCAUCCAAAAGACGUUCAAAUGGAUGUCUGACAUACGAAUUCCAGAUAUAUGUAGCCUCGACCAAGAAAUUGGCUUAUCUACCUAUUGGCUUUGGUAGAUUGUUUCUUAACCCCUGCUCUGCAAUGUUUCAUCAACGAGAGUUGAGAUUAGGAAGUGGUAGAGUUAUGGGGGUCUCUGUCACGAGAGUGGAUUGACCCGAUUUUUGAAUCUAUCGUCAUGGGUAUCUACCUUUCGCCUAUUAGCCAUUUGAAGAACCCUAGAGUUGCCCUUAUCAAUGAAUCCAUUCUUAGAACUUCUAUUAGAGUUAUUUGUAUCCUUGUUGAUUGCACUUUUAUUUACCUGUUAUUUGCAUCCCCUAUUUGUAUCCCCUGUUUAUUGCAUUUAGGUUACUUAAUUUUGUUGCCUGUUGGUUCUACUCGACCCAGUGAUCGAGUAGGGCUCUUAAGUUCUUAUUUUUACUUGUUUGAAUCCUGACCUAGAUUGUUACUAGAAACCCACCAUCAUUAUAAU